UACGAAGGGGGCUAGCGUUGCUCGGAAUCACUGGGCGUAAAGCGCACGUAGGCGGAUCUUUAAGUCAGGGGUGAAAUCCUGGAGCUCAACUCCAGAACUGCCUUUGAUACUGGCGAUCUUGAGUCCGGGAGAGGUGAGUGGAACUGCGAGUGUAGAGGUGAAAUUCGUAGAUAUUCGCAAGAACACCAGUGGCGAAGGCGGCUCACUGGCCCGGUACUGACGCUGAGGUGCGAAAGCGUGGGGAGCAAACAGGG
rnacentral:rRNA from 1 species